AUUAACGGCACAGUAAAUGAUGAGUCUGAGUGCAUUUGGCUCGAGAUGUUUCUAUCGAUGUGGAAAAACCCAAGCUACCUUAACUUUUUUUGUCUGAAA
rnacentral:snoRNA from 1 species